UACGAAGGGGGCUAGCGUUGCUCGGAAUCACUGGGCGUAAAGGGCGCGUAGGCGGCCGGCCAAGUCGGGGGUGAAAUCCUGUGGCUUAACCACAGGGCUGCCUCCGAGACUGUCGGGCUCGAGCACAGUAGAGGCAGGUGGAAUUCCCGGUGUAGCGGUGGAAUGCGUAGAGAUCGGGAGGAACACCGGUGGCGAAGGCGGUUCUCUGGGCCUGUACUGACGCUGAGGAGCGAAAGCGUGGGGAGCGAACAGG
rnacentral:rRNA from 1 species